rnacentral:rRNA from 1 species
UGGGGAAUCUUCCGCAAUGGGCGCAAGCCUGACGGAGCAACGCCGCGUGAGUGAAGAAGGUCUUCGGAUCGUAAAGCUCUGUUGAAGGGGACGAACGUACAUAGUGCGAAUAGUGCUGUGUAAUGACGGUACCUUUUGAGGAAGCCACGGCUAACUACGUGCCAGCAGCCGCGGUAAUACGUAGGUGGCGAGCGUUGUCCGGAAUCAUUGGGCGUAAAGGGAGCGCAGGCGGUCAUGUAAGUCUUGCUUAAAAGUUCGGGGCUCAACCCCGUGAUGGGCAAGAAACUAUGUGACUUGAGUGCAGGAGAGGAAAGCGGAAUUCCCAGUGUAGCGGUGAAAUGCGUAGAUAUUGGGAGGAACACCAGUGGCGAAGGCGGCUUUCUGGACUGCAACUGACGCUGAGGCUCGAAAGCCAGGGGAGCGAACG